rnacentral:tRNA from 1 species
UAGUGUAGUGGUUAGCACAUCUACUUUACAUGCAGAAGGUCCUGGGUUCACAUCUCAG